rnacentral:rRNA from 1 species
ACGAGACGGGAUGGAAUGACCCUUCGGGGGAAUGAAAUCCUAGAAAGUGGCGAACGGGUGAGUAACGCGUGGGUAACCUGCCCUAUGGAAAGGAAUAGCCUCGGGAAACUGGGAGUAAUGCCUUAUAAUAUACGAGAGUCGCAUGGCUUUUGUAUUAAACGCUCCGGUGCCAUAGGAUGGACCCGCGUCCCAUUAGCUAGUUGGUGAGAUAACAGCCCACCAAGGCAACGAUGGGUAACCGGUCUGAGAGGGCGAACGGUCACACCGGAACUAAGACACGGUCCAGACUCCUACGGGAGGCAGCAGUGGGGAAUAUUGCGCAAUGGGGGCAACCCUGACGCAGCAAUACCGCGUGAGUGAAGAAGGUUUUCGGAUCGUAAAGCUCUGUUAUUGGGGAAGAAAAAAGACGGUACCCAAGAAGAAAGUCCCGGCUAACUACGUGCCAGCAGCCGCGGUAAUACGUAGGGGACAAGCGUUGUCCGGAUUUACUGGGCGUAAAGGGCACGCAGGCGGUUUUUUAAGUCAGAUGUGAAAGGUACCGGCUCAACCGGUGACAUGCAUUUGAAACUGAAAGACUUGAGUAUUGGAGAGGCAAGUGGAAUUCCUAGUGUAGCGGUGAAAUGCGUAGAUAUUAGGAGGAACACCGGUGGCGAAGGCGGCUUGCUGGACA